CGGACGGGUGAGUAACACGUAGGUGAUCUGCCCUUGAGUUGGGGGUAGCCCAUGGAAACAUGGGGUAAUACCGAAUACGGUCCGGGAACUGUAGUUUCUGGAAGAAAAGCGCUUCGGCGCUGCUCGAGGAUGAGCCUGCGGCUGAUUAGCUAGUUGGUGGGGUAAUGGCUCACCAAGGCGACGAUCAGUAGCCGGCCUGAGAGGGUGAACGGCCACACUGGGACUGAGAUACGGCCCAG
rnacentral:rRNA from 1 species